GCCUGUCAGAGCCCCUCUGCAAGCGCCAGGAUUUCUGCCGAGCGGAGGGACACAGCUCAGGUUUCUGAAACCAACACUAGAUGGAGUCAGGCUGAGCCAGGAGGAGUGGGGCCCAGAGGAAACGCAAAGGCCGAGCAAGAGGUUCUUGCAGCAGAAGUCUGCGUGUGCCUUCUGGCGUCUGGGAAAGAUCUGAUAAACCACUGUCCUGACAUCAUAAAGAGGAGAUGAACAAGUGAUUGAAGUCUAAGUAAGCAGUCACUUCAGGAGGGGCUGGCAGUCCAGACCUCUGCCCACUGCAGUUUGGGGAUGUCUUGAAUUCGAGUGUCCAAAGCUGGUGAUGAGCCUUCACGUGGAAUUCAAUAUCCAGGGCAAAUAACAGAGUGAACAGAACCCACAGAGCCUGUGUCCUGAGGAAGAUAUCACUUCUUUUCUGCAAGAAGCUCACUAAAUAGAGGAAGGCAUAAGCACUGUAUCCAGGAGUGAGGAAGGGUGGAAGCCAACCAGGCCUCUGUCUACCCUGAUGCCCACGCCAGAGCUGUUUGCGCUUCUGUGAUGGCAUUGCUUCCGUGCUGAUGGAACCUACCCCAGCAAAUGCUUGUGAGAGCCAAACUCAAGACACAGCCUCUUUAGCUCCACCACCUUGUCAGCAGGUAAGCAGCAUUUUCCAGAACUGUUGGCCUCACCUUCUUAGCUGCCAGAAGAACCCCCUGUGAACAUUCAGGGGCCCUGAUCCACAGAGACCUGGGGCAGUCUCUGUUCCUACGGAUGAAACACUGCUCUUCCAAAGAAGAAACAGCAGACUGGGCCGGAGUGAGAGACGGGUUCUGUGGCCAUGGGCUGAGCCCGCAGCUCUGCAGGUUCUAUGAGGGGCCAACAAAGGGUGGCUUGAGAAAGCAAUGCUGUGCCUGUAGAAAGCUAUAGGGAUAUAAGUGACUAUUGUUAUGCUUAUAGAAUUAUUUUGUGGUUAUUGUUACAAUGUGCAUACCUUGCCAGGAAGGGGCUAAGCAAACAUCUUUUUACUAUUUGCAUCAACCAAAGGUUCUUUGCACAGCCCCUGUUAACAUGUCUCCGCCCUGCAGUAUUGACCUGUAUUUCUGGGGCUGCCUCUGGGGUGCUCUUUGCCACUAAACAGAAAUGCAGGUAGUUAUAUGGACUGGUUCUUCUUGGAUUGGGUUUCUCUCCUUGUGUGUGAUGAAAGAUAAGCUAUAUUACAUAACAAAGUGCCUUGUUAUAAUAAUUUCCUGAAUUCCCAGGGCAUCUUUCAUCUGACUUGAUAACAAUGUAGUUCAUUAGCAGCCUUUGUUAGCUGAUCACCUAGAGCAGCAAUGCGAUACUCAUAAGCAGCUUUCCGUGUGUAAGAUACAAUAAACCAUCAUGUGAGCUA